rnacentral:tRNA from 1 species
CGCGCUCAUGGAGAACUGGAUCCCGCGCGCGCUGUGCGAGCUCAGCCGGGAGCGGCUGGCCGAGGAGGGGCUCUACUCCCUCAUGCGCGGCCA